GAUGAAGAACGUAGCGAAAUGCGAUAAGUAAUGUGAAUUGCAGAAUUCAGUGAAUCAUCGAAUCUUUGAACGCACAUUGCGCCCUUUGGUAUUCCGAAGGGCAUGCCUGUUCGAGCGUCAUUACAACCCUCAAGCUCUGCUUGGUAUUGGGCACCGUCCUUUGCGGGCGCGCCUCAAAGACCUCGGCGGUGGCGUCUUGCCUCAAGCGUAGUAGAACAUACAUCUCGCUUCGGAGCGCAGGGCGUCGCCCGCCGGACGAACCUUCUGAACUUUUCUCAAGGUUAACCUCGGAUCAGGUAGGGAUACCCGCUGAACUUAAGCAUAUCAAUAAGCGGAGGA
rnacentral:misc_RNA from 1 species